rnacentral:lncRNA from 1 species
GCUCAAGAAAACCUGCUGUGCCUGGAAACCUGAAAGGUCAUUGACAUGAGAGGCUUUAGUAGAAAUGUCUCCAGAUUGGACAAGUCUCCCAACAUGUUUACAGUGUUACCACUCCAACCUGAGGAGAGGAAAGAAAAUAAAGGAGACUAUCUAAGAACAGACCAACAGAUUCAUGUGCCGGACGCUUGGGAUGAAGCCACAAAUCCUGUAUGUUUCUCUAUUUCAUAGAAGAAGCUUUUCCAUUACAAAGAGGGAAGGAGAUGCGUAUAUGUGUGAAGACAACAAGACAAAACAUGGUGGGUCGAAUGAGACCUGAAGGCAGGACCUAGGAGCUUUGCCUACAGUUGGUUCUGCUUGUGUCUACAUUUGAAACUAACAAGGAGUUAGAUAGAGUUAGCCCCCA